AAGCGUUGUUCGGAUUUAUUGGGCGUAAAGCGCGUGUAGGCGGCUCCUUAAGUCUGAUGUGAAAGCCCUGGGCUCAACCCGGGAAGUGCAUUGGAAACUGGGGAACUUGAAUACGGGAGAGGGUAGUGGAAUUCCUGGUGUAGGAGUGAAAUCCGUAGAUAUCAGGAGGAACACCGGUGGCGAAGGCGGCUACCUGGACCGAUAUUGACGCUGAGACGCGAAAGCGUGGGGAGCAAACAGGAUUAGAUACCCUGGUAGUCCACGCCGUAAACGAUGAGUACUAGGUGUUGCGGGUAUUGACCCCUGCAGUGCC
rnacentral:rRNA from 1 species